GUGGGGAAUAUUGGACAAUGGGCGAAAGCCUGAUCCAGCCAUGCCGCGUGUGUGAAGAAGGUCUUCGGAUUGUAAAGCACUUUAAGUUGGGAGGAAGGGCAGUAAGUUAAUACCUUGCUGUUUUGACGUUACCGACAGAAUAAGCACCGGCUAACUUCGUGCCAGCAGCCGCGGUAAUACGAAGGGUGCAAGCGUUAAUCGGAAUUACUGGGCGUAAAGCGCGCGUAGGUGGUUUUGUAAGUUGGAGGUGAAAUCCCCGGGCUCAACCUGGGAACUGCCUCCAAAACUGCAUGACUAGAGUACGGUAGAGGGUAGUGGAAUUUCCUGUGUAGCGGUGAAAUGCGUAGAUAUAGGAAGGAACACCAGUGGCGAAGGCGACUACCUGGACUGAUACUAACACUGAGGUGCGAAAGCGUGGGGAGCAAACAGGAUUAGAUACCCGUGUAGUCC
rnacentral:rRNA from 1 species